CUACGGGGGGCAGCAGUUAAGAAUAUUCUGCAAUGCGCGAAAGCGUGACAGAGUGAAUCAGAGUGCUUUUCAAUUUGAAAAGCUUUUGCUUAGUGUAAAUAGCUAGGCGAAUAAGGACUGGGUAACGACGAGUGCCAGCCGCCGCGGUAAUACUCGCGGUCCAAGUCGCAGCCAUUUUUAUUGGGUCUGAAACAUCCGUAGCUUGCUUAAUAAGUUCUUUGUGAAAUCCCAUGUCUCAAGCAUGGGGUGUGCAGAGAAUACUAUUGAGCUAGAGACUGGAAGACGUGAUGAGUACAAUCGAGGUAGCGGUAAAAUGUUUUAAUCUUGGUUGGACUAACAAGAGCGAAGGCACGUCACGAGGACAGUUCUGACAGUAAGGGAUGAAGGCCAGGGGCGCAAAACGGAUUAGAUACCCCCGUAGUC
rnacentral:rRNA from 1 species